CAGCCUGGCUAGAGAAUUGGCCCUAUUCCAAAUCUUCUAAUAAUACUUUGUUAUUGCCUCAGAGUAAGAAGAAUCUUGUUCCAAUAUUUUUUUCCUGCCUAGCAUGUUCAGUAUGUGAUGUAAAAUAAUGUCAAUUUUUGCAAAGCAGCUGUCAAAUUAACUGCCUAACAAAUCAGAUGGCUAAUCAGCAUGUGAAUGCAUCAGGAACUGUGUCUGUGAACAAGUCCCGCUACUCUUAGAACCCUGGGGAGCUUUGCCACCAGAUGGUUCUGUUUGAGCACACCCGGAGCAAGGGAUUGUGUUCCUGACCACCUUGGCUAAUAACCAUCAAUGGACCUGUCCUCCAUGAACUUCAAGGAAAUGCAGUUUGGGAUAUAACUGGAUGAAAGGAGGUAUAGAAAGUUGCAAGGGAGCAAGCGGGAGUGAGGGAGCUGCCUGCAGGAUACCUGAAGUCUGGAGCAGGCUUGCUAAAUGAACCAGCCAGCAACACCUGGUGCAGGGAAGGAACCUCAAGCAGCCGGUUCCUUGGAAGAGACCUGGCCCUAGGCUUGGUCUGUUUCAAUGAUUCUAUAGAAAAUGUCGCUGGCUUCUCAUGUGACUAGAAGAAUAAUGAUCCUUCAUGUAAUUUAACGCUGUUGCUGCACAUAUGUACAGUCAUACUUCAUACUGUUUAUUUCUUCUGGCUAAACGGUGUAGCUUAAUAUAUUACGGUGUGUAUUGUAAAUGGGAUGCUAUAAAAUAGAGAAGACAGGCAAUUGAUUCAACACUGCGGACAGACUCAGAGCUUGUACAUUUCUUGACUUUUGGUCAAUAUAAUAUACGCUGCCUUAAAGUUGCAUUAGCAUAGCCUGUUCAUAGAUUCAUAGAUUCUAGGGUCAGAAGGGACCAAUGUGAUCAUCUAGUCCGACCCCCUGCACAAGGCAGGCCACAGAACCCUACCCAUCCACUUCUAUAACAAACCCCUAACCUAUGCCUGAGAGAAUAGCCUGUUUGCAUUGAUAUAGCAACACUAGAGCAAAGCCCUACACUGUGUUGCAGAAUAUUGAAGAUAGGACUUGUGCCAAACCCCUGCCAUGCCCAUUGAACUCAUUGGGACCGAUUCUCCACUCCAGUGCACUGGCAUGAAACCAAUAUAACUCCACUGAAGUUGGGUCCAUUUAACUUCAGUGGGAGUCCUGGUCACUAACCACCUAUGAAAAUCAGACUUUUGAGGUCUCCUCUGAAAGACUCACAGGAAAUGUCAGCUCAACUCAUCGGCCUCAGAAGCACAAAGGGAUGUGAACUAGUGGUUCCAGGGAACUGGGGAAUGUUAGACCUCAUUCUGGGGAUCUGCGGUGUGAGACCACUCAACUAAUCACAAAAGAAUUUGCAAAAUUCACAUGCAGUCUUUAGACAUCUCAUUUCAGUUAGUUGCUGUCUACGCCACCAAUGGCUCUAAUCUCAUUGCCUUCAGACACAGUUUCAGUUAGCACAGCCUUGAUUCAUCUAAAGCAAAAUUUCAACUACCCAGCACCUGCCACAGGCAGACCAUCUCUAUGGGCUUCCAGCUUUGGUUCUUACAGCUAACAAAGCUUGUCAACAGGAAAUUCAGCUGGGGUGUGAGAUCUUUUAACCGAGAUCAGCAGGAGCUUUGACCACAAUGCUGUGUGGAAUGGGAAAUGUCACUUGAAUUUCAUAUUAAAGCUAAGAAGGAUGCAAAGCUUUUUCAUUUUCCCUCAAAUCCUGAUUCUCCAGAGACAACAAUGCAGACCCCUCUGGGAAGCUACUUUUAGGAUUUUCAAAGUUAAUUAAGCCAUUAACAGGCAUAGUAAUGGGAGGACAUUUGCUUAACCGUGUGCUUUCAAGUCUGCUAAGUCUGGAGGUGAAAUCCUGGCCUCGUACACACCAGUGGGAGUUUUGCAACUGACUUCAGAGGGGGCCAGGAUUUCACCCUCAGUGUUUCGAUAGUUUUGGAUGAAAAUCUGGACCCAUAUUCUGGUUUAUUUCUGACAUUAAUAUCGCUGCACCCAUUCACAAGCCAAGCCCUAUGUACUGAAGUCUAUGGAAGAGCUCUCAUUGAUUUCAGUGGGCAUUGGAACAAACCUGUUUGUUAGAGCUUUACUUAUAAUCUCUUUUUCCCCUCUCAUAUUAUAUUGGGGCCUGAAUGUCGAUAGGGAAGAUAAUUUGCCUUGAAGCACCAUGGCCAGUGAUGGCAUAUAUGAAUAAACAAAUAAUAA